rnacentral:rRNA from 1 species
UGAGGAAUAUUGGUCAAUGGACGCAAGUCUGAACCAGCCAUGCCGCGUGAAGGAUGAAGGCCUUCUGGGUUGUAAACUUCUUUUAUCUGGGAAGAAACCUCCGAUUUCUAUUGGAGUUGACGGUACCAGAGGAAUAAGCACCGGCUAACUCCGUGCCAGCAGCCGCGGUAAUACGGAGGGUGCAAGCGUUAUCCGGAUUUACUGGGUUUAAAGGGUGUGUAGGCGGGCUAUUAAGUCAGUGGUGAAAUCUCCGAGCUUAACUUGGAAACUGCCAUUGAUACUAUUAGUCUUGAAUUUUGUUGAGGUAGGCGGAAUAAGUCAUGUAGCGGUGAAAUGCUUAGAUAUGACUUAGAACACCAAUUGCGAAGGCAGCUUGCUAAACAAACAUUGACGCUGAGGCACGAAAGCGUGGGGAUCAAACAGGAUUAGAUACCCCCGUAGUCC